rnacentral:rRNA from 1 species
GGGUUGUGAGGUUAAGCGACUAAGCGUACACGGUGGAUGCCCUGGCAGUCAGAGGCGAUGAAGGACGUGCUAAUCUGCGAUAAGCGUCGGUGAGGUGAUAUGAACCGUUAUAACCGGCGAUUUCCGAAUGGGGAAACCCAGUGUGAUUCGUCACACUAUCAUUAACUGAAUCCAUAGGUUAAUGAGGCGAACCGGGGGAACUGAAACAUCUAAGUACCCCGAGGAAAAGAAAUCAACCGAGAUUCCCCCAGUAGCGGCGAGCGAACGGGGAGCAGCCCAGAGCCUGAAUCAGUGUGUGUGUUAGUGGAAGCGUCUGGAAAGACGCGCGAUACAGGGUGACAGCCCCGUACACAAAAAUGCACAUGCUGUGAGCUCGAUGAGUAGGGCGGGACACGUGGUAUCCUGUCUGAAUAUGGGGGGACCAUCCUCCAAGGCUAAAUACUCCUGACUGACCGAUAGUGAACCAGUACCGUGAGGGAAAGGCGAAAAGAACCCCGGCGAGGGGAGUGAAAAAGAACCUGAAACCGUGUACGUACAAGCAGUGGGAGCCUCUUAAUGGGGUGACUGCGUACCUUUUGUAUAAUGGGUCAGCGACUUAUAUUCUGUAGCAAGGUUAACCGAAUAGGGGAGCCGAAGGGAAACCGAGUCUUAACUGGGCGUUAAGUUGCAGGGUAUAGACCCGAAACCCGGUGAUCUAGCCAUGGGCAGGUUGAAGGUUGGGUAACACUAACUGGAGGACCGAACCGACUAAUGUUGAAAAAUUAGCGGAUGACUUGUGGCUGGGGGUGAAAGGCCAAUCAAACCGGGAGAUAGCUGGUUCUCCCCGAAAGCUAUUUAGGUAGCGCCUCGUGAAUUCAUCUCCGGGGGUAGAGCACUGUUUCGGCAAGGGGGUCAUCCCGACUUACCAACCCGAUGCAAACUGCGAAUACCGGAGAAUGUUAUCACGGGAGACACACGGCGGGUGCUAACGUCCGUCGUGAAGAGGGAAACAACCCAGACCGCCAGCUAAGGUCCCAAAGUCAUGGUUAAGUGGGAAACGAUGUGGGAAGGCCCAGACAGCCAGGAUGUUGGCUUAGAAGCAGCCAUCAUUUAAAGAAAGCGUAAUAGCUCACUGGUCGAGUCGGCCUGCGCGGAAGAUGUAACGGGGCUAAACCAUGCACCGAAGCUGCGGCAGCGACGCUUAUGCGUUGUUGGGUAGGGGAGCGUUCUGUAAGCCUGUGAAGGUGUACUGUGAGGUAUGCUGGAGGUAUCAGAAGUGCGAAUGCUGACAUAAGUAACGAUAAAGCGGGUGAAAAGCCCGCUCGCCGGAAGACCAAGGGUUCCUGUCCAACGUUAAUCGGGGCAGGGUGAGUCGACCCCUAAGGCGAGGCCGAAAGGCGUAGUCGAUGGGAAACAGGUUAAUAUUCCUGUACUUGGUGUUACUGCGAAGGGGGACGGAGAAGGCUAUGUUGGCCGGGCGACGGUUGUCCCGGUUUAAGCGUGUAGGCUGGUUUUCCAGGCAAAUCCGGAAAAUCAAGGCUGAGGCGUGAUGACGAGGCACUACGGUGCUGAAGCAACAAAUGCCCUGCUUCCAGGAAAAGCCUCUAAGCAUCAGGUAACAUCAAAUCGUACCCCAAACCGACACAGGUGGUCAGGUAGAGAAUACCAAGGCGCUUGAGAGAACUCGGGUGAAGGAACUAGGCAAAAUGGUGCCGUAACUUCGGGAGAAGGCACGCUGAUAUGUAGGUGAAGCGACUUGCUCGUGGAGCUGAAAUCAGUCGAAGAUACCAGCUGGCUGCAACUGUUUAUUAAAAACACAGCACUGUGCAAACACGAAAGUGGACGUAUACGGUGUGACGCCUGCCCGGUGCCGGAAGGUUAAUUGAUGGGGUCAGCGCAAGCGAAGCUCUUGAUCGAAGCCCCGGUAAACGGCGGCCGUAACUAUAACGGUCCUAAGGUAGCGAAAUUCCUUGUCGGGUAAGUUCCGACCUGCACGAAUGGCGUAAUGAUGGCCAGGCUGUCUCCACCCGAGACUCAGUGAAAUUGAACUCGCUGUGAAGAUGCAGUGUACCCGCGGCAAGACGGAAAGACCCCGUGAACCUUUACUAUAGCUUGACACUGAACAUUGAGCCUUGAUGUGUAGGAUAGGUGGGAGGCUUUGAAGUGUGGACGCCAGUCUGCAUGGAGCCGGCCUUGAAAUACCACCCUUUAAUGUUUGAUGUUCUAACGUUGGCCCGUAAUCCGGGUUGCGGACAGUGUCUGGUGGGUAGUUUGACUGGGGCGGUCUCCUCCUAAAGAGUAACGGAGGAGCACGAAGGUUGGCUAAUCCUGGUCGGACAUCAGGAGGUUAGUGCAAUGGCAUAAGCCAGCUUGACUGCGAGCGUGACGGCGCGAGCAGGUGCGAAAGCAGGUCAUAGUGAUCCGGUGGUUCUGAAUGGAAGGGCCAUCGCUCAACGGAUAAAAGGUACUCCGGGGAUAACAGGCUGAUACCGCCCAAGAGUUCAUAUCGACGGCGGUGUUUGGCACCUCGAUGUCGGCUCAUCACAUCCUGGGGCUGAAGUAGGUCCCAAGGGUAUGGCUGUUCGCCAUUUAAAGUGGUACGCGAGCUGGGUUUAGAACGUCGUGAGACAGUUCGGUCCCUAUCUGCCGUGGGCGCUGGAGAACUGAGGGGGGCUGCUCCUAGUACGAGAGGACCGGAGUGGACGCAUCACUGGUGUUCGGGUUGUCAUGCCAAUGGCACUGCCCGGUAGCUAAAUGCGGAAGAGAUAAGUGCUGAAAGCAUCUAAGCACGAAACUUGCCCCGAGAUGAGUUCUCCCUGACCCUUUAAGGGUCCUGAAGGAACGUUGAAGACGACGACGUUGAUAGGCCGGGUGUGUAAGCGCAGCGAUGCGUUGAGCUAACCGGUACUAAUGAACCGUGAGGCUUAACCUUACAACGCCGAAG